rnacentral:rRNA from 1 species
GUUGGUGGGGUGAUGGCCUACCAAGGCGACGACGGGUAGCCGGCCUGAGAGGGCGACCGGCCACACUGGGACUGAGACACGGCCCAGACUCCUACGGGAGGCAGCAGUGGGGAAUAUUGCACAAUGGGCGAAAGCCUGAUGCAGCAACGCCGCGUGCGGGAAGAAGGCCCUCGGGUUGUAAACCGCUUUCAGAAGGAACGAAACUGACGGUACUUUCAGAAGAAGGUGCGGCCAACUACGUGCCAGCAGCCGCGGUGACACGUAGGCACCAAGCGUUGUCCGGAUUUAUUGGGCGUAAAGAGCUCGUAGGCGGUUCAGUAAGUCGGGUGUGAAAACUUUGGGCUUAACCCAAAGCGUGCACCCGAUACUGCUGUGACUUGAGUUCGGUAGGGGAGCGGGGAAUUCCUAGUGUAGCGGUGAAAUGCGCAGAUAUCAGGAGGAACACCGAUGGCGAAGGCAGGUCUCUGGGCAUUAACUGACGCUGAGGAGCGAAAGCAUGGGGAGCGAACAGGAUUAGAUACCCUGGUAGUCCAUGCCGUAAACGUUGGGCACUAGGUGUGGGGGACAUUCCACGUUUUCCGCGCCGUAGCUAACGCAUUAAGUG